CAUGGCUCAGAUUGAACGCUGGCGGCAGGCUUAACACAUGCAAGUCGAGCGGGGAAAAGUAGCUUGCUACUUUACCUAGCGGCGGACGGGUGAGUAAUGCUUAGGAAUCUGCCUAUUAGUGGGGGACAACAUCUCGAAAGGGAUGCUAAUACCGCAUACGUCCUACGGGAGAAAGCAGGGGACCUUCGGGCCUUGCGCUAAUAGAUGAGCCUAAGUCGGAUUAGCUAGUUGGUGGGGUAAAGGCCUACCAAGGCGACGAUCUGUAGCGGGUCUGAGAGGAUGAUCCGCCACACUGGGACUGAGACACGGCCCAGACUCCUACGGGAGGCAGCAGUGGGGAAUAUUGGACAAUGGGGGGAACCCUGAUCCAGCCAUGCCGCGUGUGUGAAGAAGGCCUUUUGGUUGUAAAGCACUUUAAGCGAGGAGGAGGCUACCGAGAUUAAUACUCUUGGAUAGUGGACGUUACUCGCAGAAUAAGCACCGGCUAACUCUGUGCCAGCAGCCGCGGUAAUACAGAGGGUGCAAGCGUUAAUCGGAUUUACUGGGCGUAAAGCGCGCGUAGGUGGCCAAUUAAGUCAAAUGUGAAAUCCCCGAGCUUAACUUGGGAAUUGCAUUCGAUACUGGUUGGCUAGAGUAUGGGAGAGGAUGGUAGAAUUCCAGGUGUAGCGGUGAAAUGCGUAGAGAUCUGGAGGAAUACCGAUGGCGAAGGCAGCCAUCUGGCCUAAUACUGA
rnacentral:rRNA from 1 species